GGGUGCUAUCAUACCAGCACUAAUGCACCGGAUCCCAUCAGAACUCCGAAGUUAAGCAUGCUUGGGCGAGAGUAGUACUAGGAUGGGUGACCCCCUGCGGAAUUCUUCUUGUUGCACCCC